AUGGCGGAGGUCAAACAUUCUCACAGAACCAUCAGCGCCCACAGAGGCAAACAUGUCCCUGCCACCUCCAGCACGACUGAAGGCAAUGUCAUAGACCUGUUGGUAAGAAGAUCCAGAUUCAGCUCAGUCGACACCUCUCCCACAGCAUGGACAGCUGUCAUUUCCAGACCAUCUGAACCCCAACUCAAGACACAAAAGCAGAGGGCAACUGGGAGCUGGAGGUAUGGCUUAGUGUUUAAGAGUACUCUUGGUGAAGACCCAGAUUCAGCUACGAGUGAUCUCUAACUCUGGAAUGGAGGGUCUGACACCCGCUUCUGGCCUUCUCAUACUAUAUACACAUGUGGUACAAUACACAUAAAAUAAAAAUAAAUAAAUCUUAAAAAAUAAAA
rnacentral:lncRNA from 1 species